CGUGUAGGUGGUUGCGUAAGUUAGACGUGAAAACUCUGGGCUUAACCUAGAGACUGCGUCUAAUACUGUGCAGCUUGAGUGCAGGAGAGGAGAGUGGAAUUCCCAGUGUAGCGGUGAAAUGCGUAGAUAUUGGGAGGAACACCAGUGGCGAAGGCGGCUCUCUGGCCUGUUACUGACACUGAGGCGCGAAAGCUAGGGGAGCAAACAGGAUUAGAUACCCUGGUAGUCC
rnacentral:rRNA from 1 species